rnacentral:rRNA from 1 species
UACGAGAGGUGCAAGCGUUAUUCGGAAUCAUUAGGCGUAAAGGGUGCGUAGACGGCAUUGUAAGUCUGUUGUUAAAAUUCUUGGCCUAACUGAGAGUCUGCAACGGAAACUGUUUUGCUAGAGGGUGAGAGAGAGAAGUGGAAUUCUCGGAGUAGCGGUCAAAUGCGUAGAUCUCGAGAGGAACACCGAUGGCGAAGGCAGCUUCUUGGCUCAUUUCUGACGUUGAUGCACGAAAGCGUGGGGAGCAAACAGG